CUACGGGAUGCUCCAGUGGGGAAUAUUGCACAAUGGGCGCAAGCCUGAUGCAGCCAUGCCGCGUGUAUGAAGAAGGCCUUCGGGUUGUAAAGUACUUUCAGCGGGGAGGAAGGGAGUAAAGUUAAUACCUUUGCUCAUUGACGUUACCCGCAGAAGAAGCACCGGCUAACUCCGUGCCAGCAGCCGCGGUAAUACGGAGGGUGCAAGCGUUAAUCGGAAUUACUGGGCGUAAAGCGCACGCAGGCGGUUUGUUAAGUCAGAUGUGAAAUCCCCGGGCUCAACCUGGGAACUGCAUCUGAUACUGGCAAGCUUGAGUCUCGUAGAGGGGGGUAGAAUUCCAGGUGUAGCGGUGAAAUGCGUAGAGAUCUGGAGGAAUACCGGUGGCGAAGGCGGCCCCCCUGGACGAAGACUGACGCUCAGGUGCGAAAGCGUGGGGAGCAAACAGGAUAGAUACCCGCGUAGUC
rnacentral:rRNA from 1 species